AUUGAACGCUGGCGGCAUGCCUUACACAUGCAAGUCGAACGGUAACAGGUCUUUCGGGAUGCUGACGAGUGGCGAACGGGUGAGUAAUACAUCGGAACGUGCCUAGUAGUGGGGGAUAACUACUCGAAAGAGUGGCUAAUACCGCAUGAGAUCUAUGGAUGAAAGCAGGGGACCUUCGGGCCUUGUGCUACUAGAGCGGCCGAUGGCAGAUUAGGUAGUUGGUGGGAUAAAAGCUUACCAAGCCUACGAUCUGUAGCUGGUCUGUGAGGACGAUCAGCAACACUGGGACUGAGACAAGGCCCAGACUCCUACGGGAGGCAGCAGUGGGGAAUUUUGGACAAUGGGCGCAAGCCUGAUCCAGCGAUGCCGCGUGCAGGAUGAAGGCCUUCGGGUUGUAAACUGCUUUUGUACGGAACGAAAAGUCUUGGGUUAAUACCCUGGGAUCAUGACGGUACCGUAAGAAUAAGCACCGGCUAACUACGUGCCAGCAGCCGCCGUAAGAC
rnacentral:rRNA from 1 species